UUCAGAAAAGGAAGGAAAUGAGAAACAGGGGGAGUUCGAGGGGGAAUACGAAGGGAAGGAUAGGGAGAAGAGCCUGCCGGCGUUGCGCCCAGCUCGUCACCGUGGAGCUGUCGCCGCUCUCAUCACGGUCCGUUGCUCGUUGUCGCUGCUGGGUUUUUCGUCAGCGCUACUGCAGACAAGAAGAGAAAGAGUGAAAGCCAGCGCGAGAGAAGAGGAGGAGGGGCGCUGUCUCGCGCCGUCACUGUCACGUCUUGUUGUCACAGCUAUGGAGACUGCCACCGUUGUUAUAAUCGUGAACUGAGGAGAAAGGGAGAGUGACACUGAGAGAGAUUGACGGAAGCCAGUGAAUCGCAUGAGAGAAGGGGAGCCGAUUUCCGUCACCGCCACCGCACCCAGUCGCCACCGGUGGAGCUCGCCGUCCCUGGAGGUGAAUCGGUGUCGCGUCCUUGCUGCCAGGGCCACCAGCGCUACUUCUACUCCUCAAAUUCUGCCUCUUUUCCUUUGGGGGUUUCUGCCGCAAAUUCCACCCCAACAUCACCAUCCUUCUUGUAUUCGUUGGAGAACUUCUUACUUCUUAGUUUCCUGAUUUUCAGGUAUUCGUUUUUCACUUUCCUUUUAAAAUAUAUAAAUAACAAUAAUAAAAAAGAAUCUCUUACACACUAUAUUUUGUGCUAGUGAUAUAUUCUUCUGUGUUGUGGAUAACUAGAUCAUGCAAUUUUAUAAGUCCUACUCCCAUUUAGACAAUUGUAUGAGGCAUGUCGUUUCUUCCUUUUCUGAAUGAACAUCUGAAAUUUAGUCACCAUCUAAUUUGUUUUUACCUAGUAUUCAAUUUCUUAUUGCUGUCAAUUUUAUGAAAGUGAGAUCUAUAGUUUUAUAUAGUGGAUAAUGGAAUAAUCUAUAACAACCAGAUCCUAAAUUUUGAUAACUCUAGUCUUUAGGUAUUUGUUGUUUUAUCUCUAAGUGGUUGAGUAUUAUAUUAUUCUGUUACAUUGCUGAUCAUAGUAGGAAGAUUUAUUUGAAUGAUCUCAGCAUUAUCUGUGUGAUGUUGAUUUAGAUUAAAAACAUUUUGAUACCGGGCAUAGCAGAGCCACACGGCAGCUAGCAAAACUGCAGGGAUGACAUAAGCAAUUGCACAUCUGAUCAACUAGAUGCUGUGCAAGGGUUUAGAGAGGAUUUCAUAAAGGCAUUGAGUGGGGGUGCAGAACUCUCCAUCAAAAGGAAUGUUCAUAGAUUAAAAAGCAGGAGAAAGCUUGGAGGAAGCUGUGAGAAGAGAAACAUGGGAGGAGACUAGUAUUGAAGUGGGAGAAGCUCUCAGCCAUGGCCUGCAUAGUACCAAAAGACAAUUUGAGUCCAGCUGGAUCUAUUGGAAUUUGGUUUCUUUCUCUGCUAACAUACCGUUUUGCUGCUCCUUCCCAACAAAACCUUCAUCAUGCUCUGGUUUUGGUGAUUCUCUCUAUUACUGUUUUUAUGUUCUUGCUUGAUUUUGAUGCAUGUAUGAUUGAUUUGAUUUUUGUUAAUUUGAU